AGUUCAUGUUUUCAGGAAAAUCUGGAAAGAAAGGAAAAUUUUAGAAAUCUAAGCUUUUGAAAGAAGCUUUCACGGGAGACUCUUCUACUACCAGCUUGAGGCCUGGUCAAUGCCUGAUUCCAGAGACACAUUAGCCAAAACAUCGUCAAUAAAAUCUCCCUAGACUCCAUAAGAAAUGAUACAGGAGCCAAUUUAAGUUUCACCAGUGGGACAACUUCUGCACCUCACUAGUAUAUCAGCUCAUUAUUCUGAGCAUGAAAUAUGGGAAAUAGAGGAAUAUCUUCCAUGGUACCACAAAGAUCAAUUAGGCAAAAACAAAAUAUGAGAGAAUCUCUAGGACAGAUGACCAAUGUCUUAGAAAACGUAUAAUGAUGCAUGUGCAAAACAUAGAUUACUGAAGAUACCAACCGGUGUUGAACUGUCUGUUGUGGGGAUGGGCAAAGGCAGACUUGAAAGGACACCAAACGAAGGAGCAGCAGGCUUGGCUGUAGUAUAACUCGUUGUUGAAGAAGAAACAGUGUCAGCAAC